CAGCAGCGGGAAUACGGAGGGAGCUAGCGUUGUUCGGAAUUACUGGGCGUAAAGCGCGCGUAGGCGGUUACUCAAGUCAGAGGUGAAAGCCCGGGGCUCAACCCCGGAACUGCCUUUGAAACUAGGUGACUAGAAUCUUGGAGAGGUCAGUGGAAUUCCGAGUGUAGAGGUGAAAUUCGUAGAUAUUCGGAAGAACACCAGUGGCGAAGGCGACUGACUGGACAAGUAUUGACGCUGAGGUGCGAAAGCGUGGGGAGCGAACAGGAUUAGAUACCCGCGUAGUCCCUGUCUCUUAUACACA
rnacentral:rRNA from 1 species